rnacentral:rRNA from 1 species
AUGCAUAUCACACGAAGAUCUUUUGCGAAAUACGCAAAGAUGAAACGGCUGCUGGCAAUAGCUAGUCUGGGUGCGUGCUGGAGUGCCGAAGGUUACAAGAACCCUGAGCCCAAAUUCUACAAUAGGGCUGGGACGAGGUAUGUGAAGAAGCGGUUCAAGCAUAGAUGGGACUCAUUAAAGCAGCAGUACAGAGGGUGGAUGGAACCCAAAUCUUUGACGGUUAUUGGGUCGGAUCCUGGAAGAGGAAUCACUGGGCCGAUGAUGAGAACCCCAGAGCAUGUGAAGUUCCACAUGGGCCACGGCCAACUUGACUUUGUUGCAUGCUCUGUUCAGGACAGCAAAUGUCACCAAUGA